rnacentral:rRNA from 1 species
UGAAUUUCGGGAUCAGUAGGCCGGUCGUGCCACCGGUAUGUACUCUCAGACUAGAUCGCGACUUCCUGAUGAACCGUAAUGCCAUUAAUUUGGUGUUGCGGGGAAUCUGGACUGUUACUUUGAAAAAAUUAGAGUGUUUAAAGCAGGCUAACGCUUGAAUACAUUAGCAUGGAAUAAUGGAAUAGGACGUUCGAUCCUAUUUUGUUGGUUUCUAGGAUUGACGUAAUGAUUAAUAGGGAUAGUUGGGGGCAUUAGUAUUCAAUUGUCAGAGGUGAAAUUCUUGGAUUUAUUGAAGACUAACUACUGCGAAAGCAUUUGCCAAGGAUGUUUUCAUUAAUCAAGAACGAAAGUUAGGGGAUCGAAGACGAUCAGAUACC